rnacentral:rRNA from 1 species
UACGUAGGCAGCAAGCGUUGUUCGGAGUUACUGGGCGUAAAGGGUGCGUAGGCGGCUCUAUAAGUAUGGUGUGAAAUCUCCCGGCUUAACUGGGAGGGUGCGCUAUAGACUGUGGGGCUAGAGGGUGGGAGAGGAAAGUGGAAUUCCUGGUGUAGCGGUGAAAUGCGUAGAUAUCAGGAGGAACACCGGUGGUGUAAACGGCUUUCUGGACCACUUCUGACGCUGAGGCACGAAAGCGUGGGUAGCAAACAG